rnacentral:rRNA from 1 species
CACGUAGGGGGCAAGCGUUGUCCGGAUUUAUUGGGCGUAAAGAGCGCGUAGGCGGCCACUGCAAGUCGGUUGUGAAAUCUCCGGGCUUAACCCGGAAAGGUCAACCGAUACUGCAGGGCUAGAGUGCGGAAGGGGCAACUGGAAUUCUCGGUGUAGCGGUGAAAUGCGUAGAUAUCGAGAGGAACACCUGCGGCGAAGGCGGGUUGCUGGGCCGACACUGACGCUGAUGCGCGAAAGCUAGGGGAGCGAACGGG